UGGAGCACGGUAGGGACUUCACAGAAGGAGCUGGCAGAGCCCACUGUGGGCUUGGUCCCUGCACACGGCAUGAGUGUGACAGGGCACAGCUCUGGGACAGGUCACCUGGAUGGUGCGCAGGGAUGAAGGUCGAGAGGAAGGUCACCAGACUGACUGGUGGCUCAGGUGGAGGAGAUGUAGGUUUGGGAUGAGUCACUGGGAAUUGCUUUAGCUUAUCAAACAUUGCUGAACUAAGCUCAUCUUCUAACACCUUUCUCCUUGGAGGAGAGAAGGCUGUGGAGAGACCUCACUGUGGCCUUCCAAUACUUGAAGGGAGCUUAUAAACAGGAGGGGGAAUGGCUGUUUAUGAGAGUGGAUAGUGAUAGGACAAGGGGGAAUGGUCUUAAACUGAGACAGGGGAGGUUUAGGUUGGAUAUUAGGAGGAAGUUUCUCACUCAGAGGGUGGUGACACACUGGCACAGGUUGCCCAAGGAGGCUGUGGAUGCUCCAUCCCUGGAGGCAUUCAAGGCCAGGCUGGAUGUGGCUCUGGGCAGCCUGGGCUGGUGGUUGGUGACCCUGCACAUAGCAGGGGGUUGGAACUGGAUGAGCAUUGUGGUCCUUUUCAACCCAGGCCAUUCUAUGAUUCUAUGAUCCAUCAAAUCUUGAUGAGAGAAAAGCUUCUUAACAAUAGCUGUCUUUCAUCCGAAGUCCAGAUAUUCUGGACAGACGCUUGUCUAACCUUCUAAGAUUCAUCAUCCAUCUAAGAUUCGUCGUAGUUAAUUUUUUUAAGCACUUUAGCAUUUUCCUCACCCUGAAUAUUUUCCAAAUUGUUUACAUCUUUUCUAACAUUAGUGCCCCAAAUUAGACCUUUAGCCCCUUAUGCAUAUGCUUCCUCAGGAAAUAAGUUUUAGAUGAGUAGCUCCUCUCCCUCCUUGUCAUUGUCCUCUCCAGCCCUUGUAGCUCCCCAGUGUCACAGAAUCAUAGAAUACCCAAGGUUGGAAACGAACUCCAAGAUCAUCCAGACCAACCACCCACCUACCACCAAUAUUUCCCAGCUAACCCAUGUCCCUUAGUAACUCAUGUUAUAAUAUUAAAGGAGAAUUAUUUCAAGAAGAAUCUCCGGACAGGGUCUCUG
rnacentral:lncRNA from 1 species